rnacentral:rRNA from 1 species
CAGCCGCCACGGUAAAACGAAGGGUGCAAGCGUUACUCGGAAUUACUGGGCGUAAAGCGUGCGUAGGCGGUGAGUUAAGUCUGCUGUGAAAUCCCCGGGCUCAACCUGGGAAUGGCAGUGGAUACUGGCUCGCUAGAGUGUGUCAGAGGAUGGUGGAAUUCCCGGUGUAGCGGUGAAAUGCGUAGAGAUCGAGAGGAACAUCAGUGGCGAAGGCGGCCAUCUGGGACAACACUGACGCUGAGGCACGAAAGCGUGGGGAGCAAACAGGAUUAGAUACCCCAGUAGUCCCUGUCUCUUAUAC